CUUCAAACAAAGACCGUCGCUUUCUGAAGAUCAAAACAAGCCAGGAAUCUAAGAAGAGAAGAUCAGAAGUGAGGAGGCAUUGCAAGUGGCCACUCAGGAAGCAUAGACAACCGCCGUUUAAACCGCUUACAAGGGCAUCACGAGUCGGAACAGAGCUCGAGCACCAUCAGUCCAUCACACCUGCAUACUCAUACACAAGACUCACCACCGUGGUAAAGAGACCCACCGGAACAUGCUGAGACUAAGGAAAGGGGAACCUAGCGCUUGUCGACACCGACUAGAACCGAGAGACACCAACCCGAGUUGAUUGACAUCCUAAAUCGAAGCAGAAAACCACCGACGACCAUGAAGAAUCAAUCCGUCCCUGUGGUU
rnacentral:lncRNA from 1 species